rfam:Lingula anatina scaffold136, whole genome shotgun sequence.
GGCAAGGUAGAUUAACUGGUUAAAGCGUCCGGCUCAUAUCCGGAAGAGUACGGGUUCGAGUCCCGUCCUUGUCA